AGUUGUGACUCUGAGAGGACCGUCCGGAGAUGCUUGGGGGCUGCAGAUAGAGCCCAAAGAUGACGGCAAAAGAAACAGGCCCCUUAGUAACAUCAGUUGAGCUGCUGGGUCAGGCUUUGCCUAAAGCCAGGGUUAACCCUGAAAUUUCGUGUUUUUUGAGCCCAUGACUCUGAUUCAUAAAAUCCUGCAUUCAGGGUCCUCCAGUGCAAGCCGAGAAUGGGCAUGUUGCUUAGCAGCAACUAAUGUGAAAACCCCCGGGUGGGGAUUCUUGCUUCAAUGUGAGAUCGCGUGACUACAGCUUAGGUCAUAAUAGUUGAGAUCUCACUGGGGAGGUGCCAGUAUCUCCCUACUCCACAGGCUCCAGGCUACACCCUGGAGAAGAAAAGACACAAAGUAAUAAGGUCACUGUCUCCAAGACUCAAGGGUAGAGGAACUGCUGAUGAAGAAUGAUGGAUGUGCUGUGGAAGGCAGUGAGCUUCGUGGCAGAGGAGGUAUGUCAGCAGGAGCGCCGGCGGCCAUGUCGCUACAUGCCUGGGAGUGGGAAGAGGACCCCGCAAGCAUAGAGCCCAUCUCCUCCAUCACCAGCUUUUACCAGUCCACGAGGGAGUGUGACGUGGAGGAACACCUGAAGGUCAAGGCCAGGGCCCAGGAGUCUGACUCUGACCGCCCCUGCAGCAGUAUCGAGUCCUCAUCUGAGCCUGCCAGCACUUUCAGCUCUGACGUGCCCCACGUGGUCCCCUGCAAAUUCACCAUCUCACUGGCCUUCCCUGUGAAUACGGGUCAUAAGGGAAAAUAUGCAAGUUUGAUUGAAAAAUAUAAGAAACACCCUAAAACGGACAGUUCUGUUACAAAGAUGCGUCGUUUUUACCACAUUGAGUAUUUCCUCCUGCCGGACGAUGGAGAACCUAAAAAAGUUGACAUAUUGCUAUUUCCGAUGGUUGCCAAAGUGUUCCUGGAGUCAGGAGUAAAGACCGUGAAGCCGUGGCACGAAGGUGACAAAGCCUGGGUGUCGUGGGAGCAGACUUUUAAUAUCAGUGUGACAAAGGAAUUAUUAAAGAAAAUAAAUUUCCACAAAAUCACCUUGAGGCUCUGGAACACUAAAGACAAGAUGUCAAGAAAAGUCAGAUAUUACCGAUUAAAGACUGCCGGCUUCACAGAUGACGUGGGAGCUUUUCAUAAGUCAGAAGUGAGACAUUUGGUUUUAAAUCAGAGAAAAUUAUCUGAACAGGGCAUUGAGAAUACCAACAUUGUCAGAGAAGAGUCGAACCAGGAACAUCCACCAGGAAAACAAGAAAAAACAGAAAAACACCCAAAGUCUUUGCAAGGUUCUCACCAAGCAGAGCCCGAAACUUCUUCCAAGAACAGUGAAGAAUAUGAGAAGUCCCUCAAAAUGGACGAUUCUUCCACGAUUCAAUGGAGUGUUUCAAGAACACCAACCAUUUCUUUGGCAGGAGCAAGCAUGAUGGAGAUCAAGGAAUUAAUUCAGAGUGAAUCAAUUAGCAGCUUAACAAACAUAUUAGACAGACAAAGGUCUCAAAUUAAAGGGAAAGAUUCAGAGGGAAGAAGGAAAAUCCAGAAGAGACAUAAGAAGCCACCGGCAGAAGAAGAGGCAGAUCUCACGCUGAUAGGCCCCAGGAAGCAGAGCGCUUUCUCCAUCCAGCUGGCCAUGAUGCCACUCCUUGCCGGAUGGCAAACUGUCAUGAGUCGUGGCAGUGAGAAGUCUGCCAACAUUUUAGAUUGCCUUUUGACUUUAAAAACAGAAGUUCCGAUCAUGACCGAGGAGCAAAAGCAGGAUUUAAAUCCCCUGACCAUAAAGAUAAAGUGUGCUUCCUGCCUUCCGUCACAGCCUGUACCCAUUCAGGAACUAGAGAGGCUGUGCAUGCCUGUGUACUGCAAGUACCAGUUCCAUAAGACUCCAGUUCACAAGACCAAGGGGGAGCCCCAUGGAACCCACGUUUAUUUCCAGGACAUCAACGUCAUCUUCCUUGGGGCGCUGCACCCCACUGACCUAAGGGAAUACCUGGAGGGCCCCCCCAUGGUGGUGGAAGUUCACGACCGGGACCGCAAGUCAGAGGAGUGUUCUCAGAAGCCUGUGCUGUUUGGGGAGGACCCCCUGGAUUCAUACCUCAACUUCUGGGCCCUCAUCUCUCCCAGAGAGACAGAGAACAACCCCUUUGAGUCCCAGAACAAGACGUGGUACCCUUAUGGCAUCGCCCAGGUCAGUUUUGCUGACCUCCUCCUUGGCCACAAGUACUUGAAUCUGGCCGUCCCCAUCCACAGCUGUGAGGUUCAGCCCACACACUGCGGCCAGGACAGCAGGAGAAGGAAGGCUGUGGGGCUUGGGGUCCCCAGAGAUGGCCACCAGCAUGGCCCAAUGCCCAUGGGCAACUACCUAGAGGCUGACUCCCAGCUCAAGUUGCAAGUGGACAUCGCGGUGCCACUGAGGGCCGGGGCCAGAGCUGCUGAUCCUGACCUCGGGGGCUCCCAGUUUGGCCACAUCAUCUUCGUCUUUGACUUUAAGAAGGUCUCCCUGCUCCACAGCCUGCUGCAGGACAUCACCAUGAUCAAUGCUAAGGCCCUCGGCCUGGACUCCUACCCUGUCAGGACCCUGCAGCAGAUCCUGUCUGCCUUCAAGAUGCAUGUGCGGGUCCAGGAGCAGCAGCACCUGGAUGUGCUCACCGGCUUCCACCUGCUGGACGGGAAGACCCACCUUUUCAUCCUGGAAGGUCUGGCCGACCAAGGCUUGAGGCAGCUGUGGGAGAACCACCAAAGCUGGAUUCCCAGGUCAGAACACGGGAAAUACAAGGUGCUGUACAACUCACAGCUGCUGUUCCGCAGCCGGCUCUAUGGGGACCUGGAGGCCAUCCUGUACCACGUGCACCUCUUCCAGCCCACGGAGCUGCUGCUGCAGCAGGCGGUGUUCUUCCUGCGAGACACUGAGCGGAGGCGGGUCUUCCAGGCGCUAGCCAGGAUCCAUGACAUCUGCUGUAACAGCACCACCCUCUGGGACGUGACGGUGAGGGACCUGCUGCCCUCCUCUGCUAUGAUCAAAGACUUGAGCCAAGAGUUUGGGAUGCCCCUUUCGCAAGAACAACUCACAGAUGAGAAACUGUUUGCCCUACCACCUCAGCCCACCCCCAAUCUUGAGGAUUACCACAGUCGGAACUCCACCCUCACCUUAGAGAUCCACGCCCACCAGGAGAAGUACCUGCAGUGGCGGAGCGCCAUGCUGCUGAAGAACAAAGACAAAAAGCACAGUUUCAUCCAGAAAAAUAUCACAGAAGCCUACCAGGUCAGCAAGAAGCCUCCAAAGUCCGUGGCGAAGGUGAUUAAAAUUUCAGCCCCUGCCAACAAGGCCAUCUACAACUAUAGUAUCCAGACCAUGAAUUCUACAGAGCUUGCCAAGAAGGAGCUGUAUCAAGAGAUGGCCAAGGAGCCAAGAAAGAGAUUCACGUACUCACAGGAUUACCUUUCAGCCAUGGUGGAGCCCCUGGACUUGAAGGAAGAGGAGAAGAAAGCCCAGAAGAAAUCCCACCAGGCCUGGCUCACAGCCAGGGGAUUCCAAGUGACAGGUCUUCAGAGCGACACUGAAAGCAGCUUUCAGGAUCUCAAGCUGCCACCCAUCAAAGAGCUGAAGGAGGUCCACAGGGAAGAGCAGGGUCUCAGGUGGGGUGUCCAUAGGGACCUUCUCCUCCUGAUUUACUUACUCCCCCAAUUUAGGAGUGGAAGGAAAACUCCUUGUUUGCUAAUGUUCUGGAGCCUGUGUUGGAUCGAGACAGGUGGAGCUGGGACAGGCACCACGUGGACUUCGAUCUGUACAAGAAACCACCACCUUUCCUCGGGCUGCUCCCUUCGCCCGCACCAAAGCCUGUAACAGGUUUUCUGGAGCAUCUGGGAAGGAAAAGGAGAGAUGGUGGGUGAUCCUUCUGCAUUGUGGCAGGAAGAAGAACCCCAUCUCCUGAGCAGCACAGACCCUCCCAUGGCCACCGCAUGGUGAACCUGCACAGCCUCCCCCAAACCCAGCCACACCCUCCUCAACAAUCAACUUCAUUAAAGUGCAGCAGGACAGAC